AUUGAACGCUGGCGGCAUGCCUAACACAUGCAAGUCGAGCGGGGUUUUCGGACCUAGCGGCGGACGGGUGAGUAAUGCGUAGGAAGCUACCCGAUAGAGGGGGAUACCAGUUGGAAACGACUGUUAAUACCGCAUAAUGUCUACGGACCACAGUGUGGGACCUUCGGGCCACAUGCUAUCGGAUGCGCCGACAUGGGAUUAGCGAGGUGGCGAGGUAAUGGCUCACCAAGGCGACGAUCCCUAGCUGGUUCGAGAGGAUGAGCAGCCACACUGGAAAUGAGACACGGAGCAGAGUCCUGCGGGAGGCAGCAGUGGGGAAUAUUGGGCAAUGGGGGCAAGCCUGAUCCAGCCAUGCCGCGUGUGUGAAGAAGGCCUUCGGGUUGUAAAGCACUUUCAGUAGGGAGGAUGCGUUGUGUGUUAAUAGUACACGGCGUUGACGUUACCUACAGAAGAAGCACCGGCUAACUCUGUGCCAGCCGCCGCAGUAACAC
rnacentral:rRNA from 1 species